AGGGCAGUAGGGAAGGGCUAGGCUAGGACCACCCCAGGAGAGCUGGUCGUCUGGAGUACGUUUGAGGAAGACUUUUUCCCAAAACCUGGGACCUGUGGCGGAGAGCAGGCCUCUGGUGCUGACCAAGCCCUUUUAUAUCUCUGACUCUACAAGCUAUGAGGAAAGCAAGGGUCCAUUAUUGCUACACCCUCCCCAGUCAAAUGAACAAAACUCUUUGUGUUGCUGAAGAGGAGGAUCACCUAUGCUCCUGACUCAACUUGACUUCCUGAUCCGUCUCCACCUCCCAAACGCUAGGAUUACAAGUGUCUGCCACCACUCCUGGCUUACGCUGCACUGAAGAGGAAGCAACUUGGCCCUCAAAAGUACUCAUCAACCGAGCUGUACACCCAGGCCUUGUGGGGUUUCCAAGAAUUAUUUUUAUUUCUAUGUAUAUCUCUAUGGGAAUACGUGCACACCUCAGAGAGGGUGUUGGAUGCCCUGAAGCUAGAGUUCUGUGUGGGUCGUGACCUGUCCCUUGAGAGUUCUGGAAGUCAGACUCAGAUACUCUACCAGAGAGCAAGCACACUUAACUGCUGAGCCGUCUUUCCAGCCCUUUCAACCCUUGUGGGGUUUUUGUUUUGUUUUGUUGAUUUUUUUUUUUUUUGCCAGAGUUUCAUAUUGUAGCUCAGGCUGGCCUAGAACUUACUUUAUAUUCAGGGCUAGCCUCAAUCCUUCCACUUCAGCUUCCUGAGUACUGAAACCAUAGGUAUGGCUCAUCAUUCCUGGCUUCCUUUUUAUUUUUAGUUAUUUGUUAUUUGUUUUUAUUUUUUGUUUUGCUUCGUUUUUCAAGACAGGGUUUCUCUGAAGCUUUGGAUCCUGUC